rnacentral:rRNA from 1 species
UACGGGGGGGGCAAGCGUUGUUCGGAAUUACUGGGCUUAAAGGGUGCGUAGGCUGUGCGGAAAGUUGGGUGUGAAAUCCCUCGGCUCAACCGAGGAACUGCGCCCAAAACUACCGUACUCGAGGAAGAUAGAGGUGAGCGGAACUUACGGUGGAGCGGUGAAAUGCGUUGAUAUCGUAAGGAACACCCGUGGCGAAAGCGGCUCACUGGGUCUUUUCUGACGCUGAUGCACGAAAGCUAGGGGAGCAAACGGG